rnacentral:tRNA from 1 species
GCUCCGAGGUGUUAACAUAUCAGAUUGCAAAUCCGAAGUCGCAGAUUAACGUCUGCCGGGGCUU